rnacentral:rRNA from 1 species
AAAUUGAAGAGUUUGAUCAUGGCUCAGAUUGAACGCUGGCGGCAGGCCUAACACAUGCAAGUCGAACGGUAACAGGAAGCAGCUUGCUGCUUUGCUGACGAGUGGCGGACGGGUGAGUAAUGUCUGGGAAACUGCCUGAUGGAGGGGGAUAACUACUGGAAACGGUGGCUAAUACCGCAUAACGUCGCAAGACCAAAGAGGGGGACCUUCGGGCCUCUUGCCAUCAGAUGUGCCCAGAUGGGAUUAGCUUGUUGGUGAGGUAACGGCUCACCAAGGCGACGAUCCCUAGCUGGUCUGAGAGGAUGACCAGCCACACUGGAACUGAGACACGGUUCAGACUCCUACGGGAGGCAGCAGUGGGGAAUAUUGCACAAUGGGCGCAAGCCUGAUGCAGCCAUGCCGCGUGUAUGAAGAAGGCCUUCGGGUUGUAAAGUACUUUCAGCGGGGAGGAAGGUGUUGUGGUUAAUAACCACAGCAAUUGACGUUACCCGCAGAAGAAGCACCGGCUAACUCCGUGCCAGCAGCCGCGGUAAUACGGAGGGUGCAAGCGUUAAUCGGAAUUACUGGGCGUAAAGCGCACGCAGGCGGUCUGUCAAGUCGGAUGUGAAAUCCCCGGGCUCAACCUGGGAACUGCAUUCGAAACUGGCAGGCUUGAGUCUUGUAGAGGGGGGUAGAAUUCCAGGUGUAGCGGUGAAAUGCGUAGAGAUCUGGAGGAAUACCGGUGGCGAAGGCGGCCCCCUGGACAAAGACUGACGCUCAGGUGCGAAAGCGUGGGGAGCAAACAGGAUUAGAUACCCUGGUAGUCCACGCCGUAAACGAUGUCUACUUGGAGGUUGUGCCCUUGAGGCGUGGCUUCCGGAGCUAACGCGUUAAGUAGACCGCCUGGGGAGUACGGCCGCAAGGUUAAAACUCAAAUGAAUUGACGGGGGCCCGCACAAGCGGUGGAGCAUGUGGUUUAAUUCGAUGCAACGCGAAGAACCUUACCUGGUCUUGACAUCCACAGAACUUUCCAGAGAUGGAUUGGUGCCUUCGGGAACUGUGAGACAGGUGCUGCAUGGCUGUCGUCAGCUCGUGUUGUGAAAUGUUGGGUUAAGUCCCGCAACGAGCGCAAC